rnacentral:misc_RNA from 1 species
AGAUUGUUGAACAGCACGCGCGAGUCCUGAUGCGUCUGCUGAAAAUGAGUCGCACCGAGAUACAUCAGGAUGACCAGCGCGACGGCCAGCAGAUUCUCCUUGUAGCUCCAUGGCAGGAUGAGGCCGACCGUCAGCAUGACGAUGUUCAGGCCGGCGUAGUACAGCGAAUUGGAGUCGCCGGCAGCGUAAAUCAUCCAGGCGAUGAAGAACGCAGCCUGUCUCUUAUACA